rnacentral:rRNA from 1 species
GGAUUAGAUACCCUGGUAGUCCACACUGUAAACGAUGCAUACUACCUGUCGGGACUACGGUUUCGGUGGGAACAGCUAACGCGUUAAGUAUGCCGCCUGGGUACUACGGUCGCAAGACUAAAACUCAAAGGAAUUGACGGGGACCUGCACAAGCGGUGGAGCAUGUGGUUUAAUUCGACGCUAACCGAGGAACCUUACCAAAACUUGACAUAUCAUCUUAAGUAUUACCAGCAGUGGUAGUAUGUCAGAGUUUACUCUGUAGAUGUUACAGGUGGUGCAUGGCUGUCGUCAGCUCGUGCCG